GUGUCAGCAGCCGCGGUAAGACAGAGGGUGCAAACGUUGUUCGGAAUUACUGGGCGUAAAGCGCGUGUAGGCGGCAGAGCAUGUCGGAUGUGAAAUCCCGUGGCUCAACCACGGAAGUGCACCCGAAACUGCUCAGCUAGAGUCUCGGAGAGGAAGAUGGAAUGCUUGGUGUAGAGGUGAAAUUCGUAGAUAUCAAGCGGAACACCGGUGGCGAAGGCGGUCUUCUGGACGAUGACUGACGCUGAGACGCGAAAGCGUGGGGAGCAAACAGGAUUAGAUACCCCAGUAGUCC
rnacentral:rRNA from 1 species